rfam:Fukomys damarensis contig91383, whole genome shotgun sequence.
UUCUUGAGCCAUAGCACCCUGAAUGUCCAUAUCUCAUGUGAUCUGAAAAGCUAAGCAGGAUAAGGCCUGGUUAGUAAUUGGAUGGGAGACCACCUGGGAAUACAGGGCAUAUAGGCU